GACGAACGCUGGCGGCGUGCUUAACACAUGCAAGUCGGACGGUGAAAGCGGAGCUUGCUCCGCUGGAUCAGUGGCGAACGGGUGAGUAACACGUGGGCAACCUGCCCCUCACUUCGGGAUAACUCCGGGAAACCGGGGCUAAUACCGGAUAUGACCUCCUUGGGCAUCCUUGGAGGUGGAAAGUUUUUCGGUGAGGGAUGGGCCCGCGGCCUAUCAGCUUGUUGGUGAGGUAGUGGCUCACCAAGGCGACGACGGGUAGCCGGCCUGAGAGGGCGACCGGCCACACUGGGACUGAGACACGGCCCAGACUCCUACGGGAGGCAGCAGUGGGGAAUAUUGCGCAAUGGGCGAAAGCCUGACGCAGCAACGCCGCGUGCGGGAUGACGGCCUUCGGGUUGUAAACCGCUUUCGGCAGGGAAGAAGCCGCAAGGUGACGGUACCUGCAGAAGAAGCAUCGGCUAACUACGUGCCAGCCGCCGCGGUAA
rnacentral:rRNA from 1 species